UACGUAGGUGGCGAGCGUUGUCCGGAUUUACUGGGCGUAAAGAGCGCGCAGGCGGCUGGUCAAGUCCGAUGUGAAAGCUCCCGGCUUAACUGGGAAAUUGCAUCGGAAACUGAUCGGCUGGAAGGUGGGAGAGGGUAGCGGAAUUCCUGGUGUAGCGGUGAAAUGCGUAGAUAUCAGGAGGAAUACCGGUGGCGAAAGCGACUCUCUGGACGGCAACUGACGCUGAGGCACGAAAGCGUGGGGAGCAAACAGG
rnacentral:rRNA from 1 species